UACGUAGGGGGCAAGCGUUGUCCGGAAUCAUUGGGCGUAAAGCGCGUGUAGGCGGCCCGGUAAGUCCGCUGUGAAAGUCCAGGGCUCAACCCUGGGAUGCCGGUGGAUACUGUCGGGCUCGAGUCCGGAAGAGGAGAGUGGAAUUCCCGGUGUAGCGGUGAAAUGCGCAGAUAUCGGGAAGAACACCCGUGGCUAAGGCGGCUCUCUAGUACGGUACUGACGCUGAGACGCGAAAGCGUGGGGAGCGAACAGG
rnacentral:rRNA from 1 species